rnacentral:lncRNA from 1 species
GUUUCUUUAGUCUUGGAGGCAAUCGGCUACUGCGCUUUGGUCAUCUGGGAGGCGUCUCUCCUGUCUUCUUAAGUUGUACCCGACUAGCACGAUGCUUCUUUUUAUACAGCACAAAAGGACA